rnacentral:rRNA from 1 species
ACUCCUACGGGAGGCAGCAGUGGGGAAUAUUGGACAAUGGGGGAACCCUGAUCCAGCCAUGCCGCGUGUGUGAAGAAGGCCUUCGGGUUGUAAAGCACUUUCAGUGGGGAGGAAAGGUUGAUGGUUAAUACCUAUCAGCUGUGACGUUACCCACAGAAGAAGCACCGGCUAACUCCGUGCCAGCAGCCGCGGUAAUACGGAGGGUGCAAGCGUUAUCCGGAAUCAUUGGGUUUAAGGGUCCGCAGGCGGUCAAUUAAGUCAGAGGUGAAAUCCUAUAGCUUAACUAUAGAACUGCCUUUGAUACUGGUUGACUUGAGUUAUACGGAAGUAGGUAGAAUGUUAGUGUAGCGGUGAAAUGCAUAGAUAUUACACAGAAUACCGAUUGCGAAGGCAGCCUACUACGUAUAUACUGACGCUCAUGGACGAAAGCGUGGGGAGCGAACAGAUUAGAUACCCUGGUAGGAUAGCGU